rnacentral:rRNA from 1 species
UACGUAGGGUGCAAGCGUUAAUCGGAAUUACUGGGCGUAAAGCGUGCGCAGGCGGUUGUGCAAGACCGAUGUGAAAUCCCCGGGCUUAACCUGGGAAUGGCAUUGGUGACUGCACGGCUAGAGUGUGUCAGAGGGGGGUAGAAUUCCACGUGUAGCAGUGAAAUGCGUAGAGAUGUGGAGGAACACCGAUGGCGAAGGCAGCCCCCUGGGUCAAGAUUGACGCUCAUGCACGAAAGCGUGGGGAGCAAACAGG